rnacentral:lncRNA from 1 species
GGUGUAGUCAAGUACUUAUCAAGUCAGUGUGUGUGUCAAGAUGGAAUUGAUCACUCUGAAUUGGUAGGAGAUAUGCAUCAGUGUAUUUCAAUUUAGUAAAAUCUUGAUUAGGAUAAUCCAUAAGAUAGAUUUGAAAAAUUAAAAUACAAUGUGGUUAACUUAAUUAGGGUUGAUAGUUAAAUCCUACGUCACCUUAAGCAUUUGGGUUAAAGAGAUGAAUUAUACGAUAACCA